rnacentral:tRNA from 1 species
GGGUCGGUAGCUCAGUUGGUAGAGCAGCGGACUUUUAAUCCGUUGGUCCCGGGUUCGAGUCCCGGCCGACCCACCA